rnacentral:rRNA from 1 species
UACGGGGGGGGCUAGCGUUGUUCGGAAUUACUGGGCGUAAAGGGCGCGUAGGCGGCCUACUAAGUCGGACGUGAAAUCCCUCGGCUCAACCGGGGAACUGCGUCCGAUACUGGUGGGCUCGAAUCCGGGAGAGGGAUGUGGAAUUCCAGGUGUAGCGGUGAGAUGCGUAGAUAUCUGGAGGAACACCGGUGGCGAAGGCGGCAUCCUGGACCGGUAUUGACGCUGAUGCGCGAAAGCCAGGGGAGCAAACGGG